GACGAACGCUGGCGGCGUGCUUAACACAUGCAAGUCGAACGAAGUGGCGAACGGGUGAGUAACGCGUAAUCAACCUGCCUUUCAGAGGGGUACAACAGUUGGAAACGACUGCUAAUACCGCAUCCUUAAGGCGGGGUUUUCGUCCGAUUAGCUCGUUGGAGGGGUAACGGCCCACCAAGGUGAUGAUCAGUAGCCGGGCUGAGAGGAGGAACCGCCAAAUUGGGACUUAGACACGGGCCAGACUCCUACGGGAGGCAGCAGUGGGGAAUCUUCCGCAAUGGACGAAAGUCUGACGGAGCAACGCCGCGUGAGUGAUGACGGCCUUCGGGUUGUAAAGCUCUGUUAAUCGGGACGCGGUACCGGAAUAGAAAGCCACGGCUAACUACGUGCCAGCAGCCGCGGUAAUUC
rnacentral:rRNA from 1 species